rnacentral:rRNA from 1 species
ACUCAAAUGAAUUGACGGGGGCCCGCACAAGCGGUGGAGUAUGUGGUUUAAUUCGACGCUACGCGCAGAACCUUACCAACCUUUGACAUGUCCACUAUGGGUUUGAGAGAUCAGAUCCUUCACUUCGGGUGGGUGGAACACAGGUGCUGCAUGGCUGUCGUCAGCUCGUGUCGUGAGAUGUUGGGUUAAGUCCCGCAACGAGCGCAACCCCCAUCUUUAGUUGCCAUCAGGUUAUGCUGGGCACUCUAGAGAAACCGCCGGUGACAAGCCGGAGGAAGGCGGGGAUGACGUCAAGUCCUCAUGGCCCUUACAGGUUGGGCUACACACGUACUACAAUGACAGUGACAAUGGGAUGCGAUCCUGCAAGGGUGAGCCGACCUCAAAAAGCUGUCUCAGUUCGGAUUGUCCUCUGCAACUCGAGGGCAUGAAGCUGGAAUCGCUAGUAAUCGCGCAACAGCAUGGCGCGGUGAAUACGUUCCCGGGCCUUGUACACACCGCCCGU